rnacentral:rRNA from 1 species
UUAUUGGAGAGUUUGAUCCUGGCUCAGGACGAACGCUGGCGGCGUGCCUAAUACAUGCAAGUCGAGCGAGUCUCUUCGGAGGCUAGCGGCGGACGGGUGAGUAACACGUAGGCAACCUGCCUCUCAGACUGGGAUAACAUAGGGAAACUUAUGCUAAUACCGGAUAGGUUUUUGGAUCGCAUGAUCCGAAAAGAAAAGGCGGCUUCGGCUGUCACUGGGAGAUGGGCCUGCGGCGCAUUAGCUAGUUGGUGGGGUAACGG